GAUCAUUCAUCGUCAUUUGGUUCGCUAUCACUGCUGAGUCACGAAGUGUCCCCCAAUGUUCUGACACCACCUGGUCAGAGGAUAUCCCACUUCACGUCUUCACCGCGAGGAGUGUACCCUGAUAUGUUACCACGACAAGGUUACACAGUGUCCCCCGAUAUGUUAUCAGAAGAAGGU